AAAUUGAAGAGUUUGAUCAUGGCUCAGAUUGAACGCUGGCGGCAGGCCUAACACAUGCAAGUCGAACGGUAACAGGAAGCAGCUUGCUGCUUUGCUGACGAGUGGCGGACGGGUGAGUAAUGUCUGGGAAACUGCCCGAUGGAGGGGGAUAACUACUGGAAACGGUAGCUAAUACCGCAUAAUGUCGCAAGACCAAAGAGGGGGACCUUCGGGCCUCUUGCCAUCGGAUGUGCCCAGAUGGGAUUAGCUUGUUGGUGAGGUAACGGCUCACCAAGGCGACGAUCCCUAGCUGGUCUGAGAGGAUGACCAGCCACACUGGAACUGAGACACGGUCCAGACUCCUA
rnacentral:rRNA from 1 species